rnacentral:lncRNA from 1 species
UCUGUCUGUCCCUCGGCUCCGGAGGGGGGGGGGGUGUAAUAGCGCGGGAGGUGGGGCUAAGGGGACCCUCAUCCUCCCUUUCCGACAAGUGGGGGUCCUGAGCGCUGCCCAGAAGGGGUCCAGAGAAUGUUGUGGGCUGGGGCACACCCGCCGGGGCAGAAAUUGGAGGACACCACCGACGUCGACAGAAUCCUUUCUAUCCUUCCUUUCAGCUGCCCGGUGUUCUCCACCCCUGCGUUAGCACUCUGUAGUCUGGGGACCUCCCGGGAACGUCCCGGGGCUAGCAACCAAGGGGGCUCUCGGAUGCUCUGUGGAUCGCCGCUUCGCCCUUACUUUGGGGACGGUCACACGCGUCCCGCUUCCCCCGGUCGCUUUAGAUCAGGCGUCUGCGCCCUCCCCGGCUCCUCACCCCCACCCCCAGAGUCAAAUGUGGGCCUCUCCUGGAAAUCCUUUGCGAAGGGGACAAACUUUUGAGUGGACGAAAAUCUAUUGGAGCCUGUCCAGAGCAGGCCCUGCUCUGAGACCCUGAGGCUGGCUGGCAUACACUCUGCCUCUGUCUGGAGUUUAUAAUGAGGAUGCAAAUACAGGGAUUCAAAGAAGAGGCCCUAAGACUCAGGACCUCAGCAGGCUGAACAGCCAUGAGGAGCGAAGCUGAGUGGCUUCCCACCUCCUUUGAGCUCCUCGCAGUUCUGUUUUGUGUGUGGUUUGUCCUCGCCCCUCCUCGGACCUGGAAAAUGAAUGUUUAACCCCGCUCUGCUCAUCUCUCCCUGUGCCCUGUUCCUGUCAGCCUCAAAGCUGCCGGGAGGAAGGACCUGCAGCUUCCAGUCCUGCUCAUAGUCAAUGAAAAUUCAAAUUCUCUUCUCAGCAGAAGGGCAGCUGCCUUCUUCUCCGUUUUCCCUGCACACAUUGAUCUGUCGCGAGGGCACCUGGGGGUCAGAAGAGAGGCCAGGCUCUUUUAAUUUGGUCUGGAAUUAGCAUAUCCUAUCACACCAAAGGCCAGGAUUUCCACAUCCAGGAGCAGGAGGUCUUCACCCAGACCUAGACCUGUUCUUAGACCCCUCAAGCCAGCAAUGAUAUCCACAUUUGUUGAGGUGGAGACCUAGGAGGGAAAAUGAGCAAUUUGGCCCAUUUUUCAGGCCAGUAGCUGCAGCUGUCUGCUCUGUUAAUAUUUUCUUCAGUAUUCAUCACAGGCAAAGCACCGCCUUUACCUCGGAGUGCCUCGAGGAUAGGAAGAUCUUUGCCACCCUGAGACCUCCGUGUGUUGUGGAUAGAUACACAAAUAAACAGAUGGGGAAAAAAA